AUGGACACCGUCCGGCAGACCUUCGACGGCAAGCUCGACAUACUAGUGAACAACGCGGGGCAGCUGCUGGUGAAGCCCACCGCGGAGUGCACCGUGGAGGAGUACUCCAAGGUGAUGGCUACCAACCUGGAGUCGAGCUUCCAUCUCAGCCAGCUCGCGCGCCCUCUUCUUGUGCGCGCCGGAGGAGGCAGCAUCAUUAACAUGUCCUCCAUUGGAGGCUCCAUCGGCUUCGUUGGCUCCACCGUCUAUGCUAUCACAAAAGACAUCAUGUAUGUAGGUGCAAUGAACCAACUGACGAGGAGUUUGGCCACCGAGUGGGCCCCUGACAAGAUCCGUGUGAACGGUGUCGCCCCAGGAUUUAUCACAACCGAUAUGAUUAAAGACAUGGAUACGGAGUACCUGGAACAGGAGCACUCCAAAACCCCGUUGCGGCGGAGUGGCAAGCCAGCUGAGAUCGCCUCCACGGUGGCAUUUCUGUGCAUGCCGGCGGCUUCCUUCAUCACCGGGCAGGUCAUCUGCGUCGACGGUGGUCGGACCAUUAGUGCUUAA
rnacentral:rRNA from 1 species